GUCCUGAGAAUUAAAAGCAAUGAUCUUUAAUUUUGUGAAUUGUCUUGAAAACCUAUGCUCAUAUUUUAUUUUCCUUGUAAACUCAAACAAUACUCAACAUUGCUCAAUUGAUGAUUGUAUAUGCUUUAUCUGUAAUAGUAGUUUGUUCCUACAGAUUCAAUAAAACAUAAAAAAUGAUUAAAUAUGAUAAUUCAAAGUGGAAGUGGUAUAUGGAAAACACAAUUUACAAGUACUUCUUGCAAACUUUACAUAACAUCAGCUGUGGAUUCAAACAUUAAUGCCAAAUACUGGAAAGAAAUAUAAAGGAAAAGGAGGAGGACGAACAUUUUGUUCUGCUGUUAACUGUUCAAACAGCAAGCAUUCACAUCCACAUCUACGUUUUUUAGAUUUCCAAGAGAUCCCAAAAGAUCAAAGGAAUGGGUGAUUCUCAGCAGAAGAGAGGAUCUUAUGAACAAGGAUGCAAACUACCUUUACAAAAAUUGUCGAUUAUGCACUGACCAUUUUGAAGAUAUGAUGUUUGCAAAUGAUUUGAAAAAUCGAUUAAAGACUGAUGCAAAACCCAAUCUAUUUACCAUUCCAAAUGCACCCCUCACUGUUGGCACAAAACGGAGAACAAUUAAAAGAGUGGACCAAUCACAUAUACAAGGUAAACACCAAACCUAGUUUCAAGAUGAAAUUAGACAAAUUUAUUUUACAGCCAAAAAAUCUAAAAUGGAUAAAGAUCAGGAAAAAAGGAAAGGUGGUAUGAGAAGUUCUAUUGUAUGAUUUCAUUGCAUGAUUUCAUUGAUAUAUGGGAAACUAUUUCAGUUCUAAUUCUUGACCAUUAGUAUUGGUGAGAUGUAAUUAUAGCUAAAGUUAUUCAUUUUGCAUUUUAUUUUCCAUCUCAAGCUUUUGGUCACCACUUUGAAUUAGUUAUUACUCUUAAGUUUAUGUUUAGAGCCACCAGAUAAACAUUCACCAUUGCACGAAGUUGAUGAAAGUGGGCCUAGUACAGAAAGCCAAACUUCAGAUUUUUCUUGCCAAACAAGUGCUAUACUAUCCAAUAAUACACCUA